rnacentral:ncRNA from 1 species
UAUAGGUUUGGUCCUGGCCUUUCUAUUAGUUGUUAAUAAAAUUACACAUGCAAGACUCCUCACUCCAGUGAAAAUGCCCUCCAAGCCAUUACAGGUCAAAAGGAGCUGGUAUCAAGCACGCUAAUAAAGCAGCUCAAAACGCCUUGCUCAGCCACACCCCCACGGGAGACAGCAGUGACAAAAAUUAAGCAAUAAACGAAAGUCUGACUAAGUUAUAUUAUCAAGGACUGGUAAAUUUCGUGCCAGCCACCGCGGUCACACGAUUAGGCCAAACUAAUAGAUAUUCGGCGUAAAGAGUGUUUUAGAACCCAAAAACCAAUAGAGCCAAACUCUAGCCAGGCCGUAAAAAGCCCUUGCUACUGUAAGAUACACAACGAAAGUGGCUUUAGAAAAUCUGAACACACGAUAGCUAAGACCCAAACUGGGAUUAGAUACCCCACUAUGCUUAGCCCUAAACAUGAAAAAUUGAAAACAAAAUUAUUCGCCAGAGUACUACCAGCAAGCGCUGGAAACUCAAAGGACUUGGCGGUGCCCUACAUCCCUCUAGAGGGGCCUGUCCUAUAAUCGAUAAACCCCGAUCUACCUCACCAAUCUUUGCCAAAUCAGCCUAUAUACCGCCAUCUUCAGCAAACCCUAAAAAGGAUAAACAGUAAGCACAAAUAUUAACAUAAAAACGUUAGGUCAAGGUGUAGCCUAUAGGUUGGAAAGAGAUGGGCCACAUUCCCUAAACUAGGGUAACUCUCACGAAAACCUAUGUGAAAACAAAAGUUAAAGGUGGAUUUAGUAGUAAAUUAAGAGCAGAGUGCUUAAUUGAACAAGGCCAUGGGGCACGCACACACCGCCCGUCACCCUCCUCAAGUAAAAAUAUCGACCUCUUUAAUAAAACCCCAAGAUAUUAGUCCACAAGAGGAGACAAGUCGUAACAAGGUAAGUGUACUGGAAAGUGCACUUGGACAAC